AAAAAACUUGACAAAUACACACGAAAGCUGAUGAAAGCCAGGGGAGGAGUUUUGGGGCCCAAGACGAGUUUGCUCCUGGACCGACUGAGUCAGAAACAGAGCAUUGAGGUGAGAAGAGAAGCCAUUAUCUCCAGCCUUAUACUGUACCAUGGGAAGAAGGAAUAUGACUUUUUGAGGACUGCUUGUUUACGAUGGCUAAAGCGAUGGCAGUGGUCAGAGGCCACUCUUCAAUAAACAGCUGAAAAGAGAAAGAAGUUUGGUUAUUGGAGCGUCGUUGUCUGGCUGUCUAGCCAGCUGAAAAGUUGGGAAAACUCAGGGCGAGGACAGCACAGUGAUGUUAGUAACUCUGUUUUCAAAAUCUGACAGCUAUGAGAUUGUCCCAGGAUGCAAGAGUACAGCGAAAGCUUGUCCACUGCUUAUGGGACUGAUUUAUGCCCUGAACUGUGCAUACCCUCCUAUUUUGUGCUACACUUUUAAAGUCCUCUAAGAACUCUUGCUGGAGAUGGAUCAAUUUAAACUCUACACAAAAGAAAACACCCUGAAGUGAAAGUUACUGUCAUGAUUCUGUCUUCCUAGAGGAGGAAAAU